CUUGCUUCUUCUGAUUUUAGCGGCGGACGGGUGAGUAACACGUGGGCAACCUACCUUGUAGAUUGGGAUAACUCCGGGAAACCGGGGCUAAUACCAAAUAAUCCAUUUUGCUUCAUGGCGAAAUGUUGAAAGGCGGCUUCGGCUGUCACUACGAGAUGGGCCCGCGGCGCAUUAGCUAGUUGGUAGGGUAACGGCCUACCAAGGCGACGAUGCGUAGCCGACCUGAGAGGGUGAUCGGCCACACUGGGACUGAGACACGGCCCAGACUCCUACGGGAGGCAGCAGUAGGGAAUCUUCCACAAUGGACGAAAGUCUGAUGGAGCAACGCCGCGUGAGUGAAGAAGGUUUUCGGAUCGUAAAACUCUGUUGUAAGGGAAGAACACGUACGAGAGUAACUGCUCGUACCUUGACGGUACCUUAUUAGAAAGCCACGGCUAACUACGUGCCAGCAGCCGCGGUAAUACGUAGGUGGCAAGCGUUGUCCGGAAUUAUUGGGCGUAAAGCGCGCGCAGGCGGUCCUUUAAGUCUGAUGUGAAAGCCCACGGCUCAACCGUGGAGGGUCAUUGGAAACUGG
rnacentral:rRNA from 1 species